rnacentral:rRNA from 1 species
AACGAACGCUGGCGGCAUGCCUAACACAUGCAAGUCGAACGAGACCUUCGGGUCUAGUGGCGCACGGGUGCGUAACGCGUGGGAACCUGCCCGUAGGUUCGGAAUAACUCCCCGAAAGGUGUGCUAAUACCGGAUAAUGUCUUCGGACCAAAGAUUUAUCGCCUUUGGAUGGGCCCUCGUUGGAUUAGCUAGUUGGUAGGGUAAAAGCCUACCAAGGCGACGAUCCAUAGCUGGUCUGAGAGGAUGAUCAGCCACACUGGGACUGAGACACGGCCCAGAAUCCUACGGGAGGCAGCAGUGGGGAAUAUUGGACAAGGGGCGAAAGCCUGAUCCAGCAAUGCCGCGUGAGUGAUGAAGGCCUUAGGGUUGUAAAGCUCUUUUACCCGGGAUGAUAAUGACAGUACCGGGAGAAUAAGCUCCGGCUAACUCCGUG